rnacentral:tRNA from 1 species
UCCAGGGUAGCCUAGAAGACAUGGCAUCUGCCCGGUAAGCGGAACACUGUGGGUUCGAUUCCCAUCUCUGGAC